rnacentral:rRNA from 1 species
UACGGAGGGUGCAAGCGUUAUUCGGAAUUACUGGGCGUAAAGCGUGCGCAGGCGGUUUGUUAAGUCCGAUGUGAAAUCCCCGAGCUCAACUUGGGAAUUGCAGUGGAUACUGGCAAGCUGGAGUAUGGGAGAGGAAGGUGGAAUUCCCGGUGUAGCGGUGAAAUGCGUAGAGAUCGGGAGGAACACCGGUGGCGAAGGCGGCUCUCUGGGCCUGUACUGACGCUGAGGAGCGAAAGCGUGGGGAGCGAACAGG